CGUGUGUGUGUGUGUGUGUGGGGGGGGGUAUAUAAGCUGGUGAACCCGUGUUGAGCCACAGGUUCUGUUUCAGGAUGAAUGGUCUUCUCUCUCUGUUCCUGCUGCUGUGUGUCCGUCAGGGCUGCUCAGAGGUUUCAGUCCAUCAGGAGGACAUCAAGAAGUUUUCAGACCACGAUGAGAAGAAGGCCGAUGUCCCUCCGGAGCUCCACAGCCUGUGGGAUGAGCUCCUGGGUUUGAAGGAGCUGGUCCUGAGCCUUAAGGCGGCGGAGGUGAGGCAGUGUCAAGCCCAGCGUAGCAUGGAGACCCAGCUGAGGGACUGGCAGGUGGAGUCUGAGCGGCAGAGACGGAGACUAGAUCAGUUGGAGGACACGUUGCUCCGUCGGGCUGAGGAACCUCUAAUGGAGCCGGGCUCCAGUCUGAGGAGGAGGGUGGAAAAGUUGGAGGUGCAGAGUGAAGCUCAAGCAGCUGAGGUGUCCACACUCAGGUCCAGGAUGAACAGCAGUGAGAGCUCCUUUGAGGAGCAUGUGAAGAAGAGCACAGCCACGGCAACAGAGCUGCCGUUCCUGCAGAUGAGACUGAGGGCGAGCGAGAGAACAUUGGAGGUGCUGAAGAGGAAGAACACAGUCCUGGCUCUCAGAGUGUGUAGCACUGAAGAGCUGAUAGAGGAGCUGAUGAAACAGACCUCAGAAUUCCAGGUGUCCAAUAGCUCCUCUGAGCUGGAGAGACACGUGGACGUCCGACUUGAGGAGCUGAGCGCCACGACACACGCUAUUCACUGUCGACUGAAUGGACUCGAGCAGAACUUCACCAAGUCAGCAGAACGACUAGAGCUCUUCAUCCACAGUGAGCAUCCAUUCAUCCAUCCAUCAUUCAUCAUCCAUCCAAUUAUCCAUCCAUCCUUCUUCCCUCCCUUCCUCCUUCCUCCUUCCCUCCCUUCCUUCCUCGUGUAUUGAUUCCAGAUCAGUUAUCAGUGAUUGACAGCAGACUGAAUUCCAGCCAAAAUCACCUGGACCAGCUGAAGAUCAGUGCAGCAGGUUGGUCACAUGAUCUUGAUGAUAGUUGAGUUUUCAGUUUAAAACUUCUGUUACUAUAGGGCCUCGUUACUGGAGGGCCUCGUUACUGGAGGGCCUCGUUACUGGAGGGCCUCGUUACUGUAGGGCCUCGUUACUGGAGGGCCUCGUUACUAUAGGGCCUCGUUACUGGAGGGCCUCGUUACUGGAGGGCCUCGUUACUGGAGGGCCUCGUUACUGUAGGGCCUCGUUACUGGAGGGCCUCGUUACUAUAGGGCCUCGUUACUGGAGGGCCUCGUUACUGGAGGGCCUCGUUACUGUAGGGCCUCGUUACUGGAGGGCCUCGUUACUGGAGGGCCUCGUUACUGUAGGGCGUCGUUACUGGAGGGCCUCGUUACUGUAGGGCCUCGUUACUGGAGGGCCUCGUUACUGUAGGGCGUCGUUACUGGAGGGCCUCGUUACUGGAGGGCUUCGUUACUGGAGGGCCUCGUUACUGGAGGGCUUCGUUACUGUAGGGCCUCGUUACUGGAGGGCCUCGAUACCUAGGGCCUACAAAAACUAUUGGUGCCAGAGACGGUCACAUGACGCCUGUGACAUCACUUUCACAGAUCAAGGUCGUCGGCUGGGAUCAGCGCAGACGCGCGUGGACGAGCUGCAGGUUGAAAACAGAGGUGAGCCACCUGUAGCUGCUACAGUUAGCAUGUUAGCUGCCCAACAAAGACAGAAGUCGCACGUUGACAAACAAACAAUUCCUCUGACAAUGAUGAGCAUGCUGCUAAUUAGCGUAGCUCUAACACCCGACAGGCUGGCUUUAGACCUGUUUGUGUUUUCAGGUCAGUGGGACCAGAUUUCAUCCAUUGAGUCCCGACUGAGAGAGAAUCACACAGAAGGUGAAUCUGUCAAUAAACGAAUAAAACAGAUCAACUUUUACACACACAAAACUGGUUUAAACUUGUUCCAGUAAAGAUCCUGUCUCCUGUUUAAGCCCUUUUUACACGUGUGUAUCUGAUGUGUGUAGUUUCUGGCCGUAGUUGCUCGUCUGUAGUUUCACACCUGAAUGUUGUCGUCCAGCUCUGGAGGUCAGGUUGAAGGUCAGCGAGGAGCAGCUGGAGGAGCUGAGGACUGAACACACGGGUGAUUGAUCAGAUAUUGACGACCGGUCCGUGUGGACUCCGGCGCCGUGCUGAUGAUGUUUGUGUUGCUCAGCUCUCCGGGUCAGACUGGGAUCAGCGGAGCAGCGGCUGGAUCAGCUGAAGAGUCACGCUGAUGGUAAACGGAUGGAACUCCGCUGAUCAGGGGCGGCAACAGUUGAUCAAACCUGUUUCCUGUCAGGGCUGCAGGUCCAGCUGAGUGGGGGCGGAGCCACGCUCGACCAGCUGAAGAUCAGUAACGCAGGUAAAUGUCUGUCAAGGAGGAUUAGGGCGGGGCUAAAUUAGACA
rnacentral:lncRNA from 1 species